rnacentral:rRNA from 1 species
AUAUAACUAAGCGGAGGAAAAGAAACUAACAAGGAUUCCCCUAGUAACUGCGAGUGAAGCGGGAAAAGCUCAGACUGAAAAUCUUCGGAAUUGUAGUCUGUCGAGGCCAGAUCUGUGAAUGUCUGCGGGCAAAGUCUGCUGGAAAGCAGCGCCGAGGAGGGUGAUAGCCCCGUUCAUGCCUGUGGACUGAAGCUUGUGAUCGGUCUUCUACGAGUCGAGUUGUUUGGGAUUGCAGCUCUAAGUGGGUGGUAAAUUCCAUCUAAAGCUAAAUAUCGGUGGGAGACCGAUAGCGCACAAGUA